rnacentral:rRNA from 1 species
AACGAACGCUGGCGGCAUGCCUAACACAUGCAAGUCGAACGAGACCUUCGGGUCUAGUGGCGCACGGGUGCGUAACGCGUGGGAACUUGCCCUUAGGUUCGGAAUAACUCCCCGAAAGGGGUGCUAAUACCGGAUAAUGUCUUCGGACCAAAGAUUUAUCGCCUUUGGAUGGGCCCGCGUUGGAUUAGCUAGUUGGUAGGGUAAAAGCCUACCAAGGCGACGAUCCAUAGCUGGUCUGAGAGGAUGAUCAGCCACACUGGGACUGAGACACGGCCCAGACUCCGACGGGAGGCAGCAGUGGGGAAUAUUGGACGAUGGGGGAAAGCCUGAUCCAGCCAUGCCGCGGGAGUGAGGAAGGGCUUAGGGUUGUAAAGCUCUUUUACCCGGGAUGAUAAUGACAGUACCGGGAGAAUAAGCUCCGGCUAACUCCGUG